GGACGCGUUAAUCGCGCAGUGUGGAUCUGUGCGGCUUCCGUACUGUGACGCUGACGUCAUAUCUCAUGAACAUAAAACUACAAGAAGCUGUACUACUACUAAAUACUGACCGUUUGGUUUUUAUUCGAGUGAAAAGUGUGGAAGUAUUCGAUUUCAGACGCAGUGACUGCCUACAUACUGCAGAAAGUAGUCUGCAAAUAUGCUUUAGGUCUGCUGUUAUUAAAUCAAUGACCAUACAAGAACAUCACAAGGACAGAGAUGAAGAAAAGAAACAACCUUCAGCAAGCUUCAUUCUUCACAUAUGGGAAGGCUGGAAUGGAAGUAGAAGACGAGUAAGGGUGGAGAAAUGGGAUCACACAGUCCUUUAACAUAACGAGCUGAUCUCGCUCUUACUGCAGCCCCAUUUA